ACCCGCACAAGUGGUGGAGCAUGCGGUUUAAUUCGAAGAUACACGAAGAACCUUACCUGGCCUUGACAUGGUAGGAACCCUUAAGAGAUUAGGGGGUGCUAGCUUGCUAGAACCUACACACAGGUGCUGCACGGCUGUCGUCAGCUCGUGUCGUGAGAUGUUGGGUUAAGUCCCGCAACGAGCGCAACCCUCGUCCUUAGUUGCUAACAGUUCGGCUGAGCACUCUAGGGAGACUGCCUUCGCAAGGAGGAGGAAGGUGAGGACGACGUCAAGUCAUCAUGGCCCUUACGGCCUGGGCUACACACGUGCUACAAUGGUCGGUACAAAGGGUUGCCAAGCCGCGAGGUGGAGCUAAUCCCAUAAAACCGAUCGUAGUCCGGAUCGCAGUCUGCAACUCGACUGCGUGAAGUCGGAAUCACUAGUAAUCGUGAAUCAGAAUGUCACGGUGAAUACGUUCCCGGGCCUU
rnacentral:rRNA from 1 species